UACGUAGGGUGCAAGCGUUGUCCGGAAUUACUGGGCGUAAAGCGCGUGUAGGCUGCUCCGAAAGUCAGGUGUGAAAGCCCCGGGCUCAACCCAGGAAGUGCACUCGAAACUGGUGGACUAGAGUAUCGGAGAGGUUGGUGGAAUUCUCGGUGUAGAGGUGAAAUUCGUAGAUAUCGAGAGGAACACCGGUGGCGAAGGCGGCCAACUGGACGAAUACUGACGCUGAGACACGAAAGCGUGGGGAGCAAACAGG
rnacentral:rRNA from 1 species